GAUGAGCGCUAGCGGCAGGCUUAACACAUGCAAGUCGAGGGGUAGAGGUUGCUUGCAACCUUGAGACCGGCGCACGGGUGCGUAACGCGUAUGCAACCUACCUUUUACAGAGGGAUAGCCCAGAGAAAUUUGGAUUAAUACCUCAUAGUAUAUAACCUUCGCAUGUUGGUUAUAUUAAAGUUCCAACGGUAAAAGAUGGGCAUGCGUCCUAUUAGCUAGAUGGUAAGGUAACGGCUUACCAUGGCAACGAUAGGUAGGGGUCCUGAGAGGGGGAUCCCCCACACUGGUACUGAGACACGGACCAGACUCCGACGGGAGGCAGAAGUGAGGAAUAUUGGACAAUGGGCGCAAGCCUGAUCCAGCCAUGCCGCGUGCAGGAAGAAGCAUCUAUGGUGUGUAAACUGCUUUUGUACAGGAAGAAACACCCCGACGUGUCGGGGCUUGACGGUACUGUAAGAAUAAGGAUCGGCUAACUCCGUGCCAGCCGCCGCGGUAA
rnacentral:rRNA from 1 species